AUGGUAGAGGAAGGAAAAGGAGCUGACUGGGCAGCUUGGAGG
rnacentral:miRNA from 7 species